GGAUUCACUGUCCUCCGGACAUAUUCUUGCUCUUUCCCCUUGUCUGGAAUGCUUCUUGCUUCCUCUCCAGGUGUCCAUUCAUGCAUUGUUAACCCUUCAUCAGUGGGUCAGACAACAGUAGUCUUUAUUCAUACAUAACUGAGGUUCUGUGACACAGCUGUGAAUAGAUACUCCCAUAGCUUUGUAGGCCGUAGAGACCUGGUCCCUCUUUUUCAGCAGACCGUACUCUGGUCUUAUCUGCAUCUUGCUCGUGUAUAGGCCGCAGCUGGAAUCCCAUUCCUUCUGUGAACCCAUCCCAUCUUGAUACGCUCUCCUGAGUCCCUGUGAAGCUGAGUCAUUUUCCACGUAUUUGGCGAUUC
rnacentral:lncRNA from 1 species